AGUGAACGCUGGCGGUAGGCCUAACACAUGCAAGUCGAACGGCAGCACAGUAAGAGCUUGCUCUUACGGGUGGCGAGUGGCGGACGUGUGAGGAAUACAUCGGAAUCUACUUUUUCGUGGGGGAUAACGUAGGGAAACUUACGCUAAUACCGCAUACGACCUACGGGUGAAAGCAGGGGAUCUUCGGACCUUGCGCGGUUGAAUGAGCCGAUGUCGGAUUAGCUAGUUGGCGGGGUAAAGGCCCACCAAGGCGACGAUCCGUAGCUGGUCUGAGAGGAUGAUCAGCCACACUGGAACUGAGACACGGUCCAGACUCCUACGGGAGGCAGCAGUGGGGAAUAUUGGACAAUGGGCGCAAGCCUGAUCCAGCCAUACCGCGUGGGUGAAGAAGGCCUUCGGGUUGUAAAGCCCUUUUGUUGGGAAAGAAAAGCAGCAGGUUAAUACCCCGCUGUUCUGACGGUACCCAAAGAAUAAGCACCGGCUAACUUCGUG
rnacentral:rRNA from 1 species